rnacentral:misc_RNA from 1 species
UUUCCGUAGGUGAACCUGCGGAAGGAUCAUUGUCGAAACCUGCCCAGCAGAACGACCCGCGAACUUGUAUAAACAACCGGGGGCGGGGGGCGUUCUCGCCCCGUGCCCCCGAACGGCGGGGAGACACUCGUGCCUUCUUGCCGAACAACGAACCCCGGCGCGGUCUGCGCCAAGGAACUUCAACUAAAGAGUGCCUCCGGUCGCCUCGGAAACGGCGUGCGUGCCGGGGGCGAACCUUGUGCAAAACCAUAACGACUCUCGGCAACGGAUAUCUCGGCUCUC